rnacentral:rRNA from 1 species
GUGGGGAAUAUUGGGCAAUGGGCGCAAGCCUGACCCAGCAACGCCGCGUGAAGGAAGAAGGCUUUCGGGUUGUAAACUUCUUUUACCAGGGACGAAACAAAUGACGGUACCUGGUGAAUAAGCCACGGCUAACUACGUGCCAGCAGCCGCGGUAAUACGUAGGUGGCGAGCGUUAUCCGGAUUUAUUGGGUGUAAAGGGCGUGUAGGCGGGACAGCAAGUCAGAUGUGAAAACCAGAGGCUCAACCUCUGGCCUGCAUUUGAAACUGUUGUUCUUGAGUGUCGGAGAGGUAAUCGGAAUUCCGUGUGUAGCGGUGAAAUGCGUAGAUAUACGGAGGAACACCAGUGGCGAAGGCGGAUUACUGGACGAUAACUGACGCUGAGGCGCGAAAGCGUGGGGAGCAAACAGGAUUAGAAACCCGUGUAGUCC